rnacentral:rRNA from 1 species
GGGGAAUAUUGCACGAUGGGCGCAAGCCUGAUGCAGCCAUGCCGCGUGUAUGAAGGAGGCCUUCGGGUUGUAAAGUACUUUCAGCGAGGAGGAAGGCAUUGUGGUUAAUAACCGCAGUGAUUGACGUUACUCGCAGAAGAAGCACCGGCUAACUCCGUGCCAGCAGCCGCGGUAAUACGGAGGGUGCAAGCGUUAAUCGGAAUUACUGGGCGUAAAGCGAACGCAGGCGGUCUGUCAAGUCGGAUGUGAAAUCCCCGGGCUCAACCUGGGAACUGCAUUCGAAACUGGCAGGCUAGAGUCUUGUAGAGGGGGGUAGAAUUCCAGGUGUAGCGGUGAAAUGCGUAGAGAUCUGGAGGAAUACCGGUGGCGAAGGCGGCCCCCUGGACAAAGACUGACGCUCAGGGGCGAAAGCGUGGGGAGCAAAC